rnacentral:rRNA from 1 species
GACGAACGCUGGCGGCGUGCUUAACACAUGCAAGUCGAACGGAAAGGCCCUGCUUUUGUGGGGUGCUCGAGUGGCGAACGGGUGAGUAACACGUGAGUAACCUGCCCUUGACUUUGGGAUAACUUCAGGAAACUGGGGCUAAUACCGGAUAGGAGCUCCUGCUGCAUGGUGGGGGUUGGAAAGUUUCGGCGGUUGGGGAUGGACUCGCGGCUUAUCAGCUUGUUGGUGGGGUAGUGGCUUACCAAGGCUUUGACGGGUAGCCGGCCUGAGAGGGUGACCGGCCACAUGGGGACUGAGAUACGGCCCAGACUCCUACGGGAGGCAGCAGUGGGGAAUAUUGCACAAUGGGCGGAAGCCUGAUGCAGCAACGCCGCGUGCGGGAUGACGGCCUUCGGGUCGUAAACCGCUUUCGCCUGUGACGAAGCGUGAGUGACGGUAAUGGGUAAAGAAGCACCGGCUAACUACGU